AACCUGCGGAAGGAUCAUUGUCGAUACCUGUCCAAAACAGAACGACCCGCGAACGUGUAACACCAACGUUGCAUCGUUGGGCUGGAGCCUAGAAUUGACUCUUUGUGAGACUUGUCGGCGCGCGGUGCUUGCACUCGGUGGGCUAACGAACCCCGGCGCGGCAAGCGCCAAGGAAACACAAAUGGAAGCGUUGCUCCCCGUGACUCCCGUUCGCGGUGUGGUUUUGGGGUGUGAUGUAUCUUGAAAGUCAUAAACGACUCUCGGCAACGGAUAUCUCGGCUCGCGCAUCGAUGAAGAACGUAGCGAAAUGCGAUACUUGGUGUGAAUUGCAGAAUCCCGUGAACCAUCGAGUCUUUGAACGCAAGUUGCGCCCGAGGCCAUUCGGCCGAGGGCACGCCUGCCUGGGCGUCACGCAUCGCGUCGCCCCCUACACCAACCUGGUGCGGGGGCGGAUUGGCAUCCCGUGCCUCCGGUUGCCCAAAAAGGAUCCUCAUCGGCGAUGCACAACCAGUGGUGGUUGAAAGAUCAUUGUGUCCGCUUUUUGUGCUUCGACUCCCGUCGCAGCGUGGCAUCGCUACAAAACAAUGUGCUAGCGCGCUUCGACCGCGACCCAGGUCAAACGGGACUACCCGCUGAGUUUAAGCAUAUCAAU
rnacentral:rRNA from 1 species